GCGCGGCGUCGCCGCCGGAGAGAGAGAGAACCCUUUCGUCAGUUGGGUCUCGGCCGCCGUCAACGUCAAUACGACGAAGGCGCACGAGAGCACGUCGCCUCGGCUCCGGUUGACGCCGAGGUACAUUCGACGUUCGUCGACGGGAGAAACGCGCACCUGGCCAUUUGCAUCUCUCGCCACGCAUCCCCAUUGUCUCUCCUCCCAGUCUCUCCGUUUUUCACCCUCUGGACGUACAGUCCAUUUGUCUAUCUUUCUCUGUCUUUCUUCCUCCCCCCCUCUCUUUCUGUCUCUCUGUCUCUCUCUCUCUCUUUCUCUGUUUCUUUCUUUCUGCACUCUUCCUCCAUGCACUCCAAUACGCUCGAAUUUCAAUCUACCGGUGUAUCGCGAGCGGUACUACGUUCAUGUGUGUCGCGAGUGGGCCGAUAGUGCACAACACAUAGCGAAGGACGCUAUCUCUCAGGUGUGAUAGGGAAAAAGCUAGGUUCGCGUGCUCGAUGCAGAGUGUAACCGGCGAGGGUAUGGCCGACGGUCGCUCCGUUUCUUUCGGCACAGUCCUCACCGGAGUGCCCGCGAGUGCGGUCUCCGAGUGCGACGGCGGCGGACGCGCCGGUUGUGAAUAAUAGAAGAGAGAGUGUUCCAUGCUAUUAGAACAUCGGUCCCAAUAUCUAAUUAUUCUACGAGACUUACCCGAGCGCAACCUUCUCAACGAUCGACAAUCAAUUUCGUGUUCUGGUCUGGAUUCUGUAUCGCCGACGUCAUCAAGAGCCUCAUUCAUCGUCACUGGAAAUUACGCGAUACGUCAAACGCACUCGUACGAACUUCAUUUACAAACAGAUAUUUAAAAAAAAAAAAAAAUAAACGGAACGUAUUCCAGUGUAAGUGUAAUUCCACGAGUGAAUGCGUGAAAUCGUGGGUCGAGUAAUGAGUUAUUUGAACGAGAGUGCAAAUCGAAAGCUCAUUCGUGUCAGCCGAUCGUAAUGUACGAUUAAAGCGGAAGAAACGACAGUAGCGGAACACGUUCGCGUUCUCGAGAGUGAUCAUUUUUCGCGUAAUUUAAAUUUAUAUGAUAUAACCCGAGUAUUGUGCCAAAAUGGGAAAUCCGUGGGUAGGAGUGCGUUCGGUGCGACGAUCGCGUGUCGUGGAAAAUUGCGCGAAUUCUCUGAUUAUAGACUGAAACUGCUACGACCUUUCGCAAUGCUAAUCUUGCGUAUUAUUAAUUGCCGUCGUUGCGGAUAAAAGUAGUUCAACGGGGGUGAUUGAAAUCCGAUUAUACUGGAAGUGUACCGAAAUGUGGCGGUUACAAAUUUGGGGUAGACGUGAAAUAUUUCUAAAUAAAUCGUUAUAAUUAAUUUUAUAAUCAAAUGUGUCCACUGUGAAAUAAGUAACGCUUAAAGUUUCUUCUAAUUGACCUCGACUCGCCAUCUCAGCGCUAUUUUCUACAGCAUGAUAAUAUCCGUUCGAUACGUACGAGGAAACUACAAUAGGAAGCAAAAGAAAAAAA